GGGAAUGUGGCUAAGUGGUAGAGUGCUUGCCUUGCAUGCAUGAGGCCCUAGGUUCAAUUCCUCAGCACCA
rnacentral:tRNA from 1 species